ACGUCUCCUUCACCAUAAACUUUGUCUGAGGGUGUUUGAUGUAUAUUAUUUUGUGACAUCAAUUCUUUCAUGGUAUGUCGGUUUCGGUUUAUACUUCGGUAGUAGAUGAUCCGCGCCGAUCAAUAAUGUAGUCUUUCAGAGAACCUUGAACGUAUCCUGGCACAAACUGGGACUUCUCUUUUUUUGUUCUGCUACGGUGUUGCAACUGUUUACUUCUUGUGCAGUGUUGUAUUACUGGGUACAUUAUUGUAAUUUUGAGUAACCAGGUUCCAUAAUAAUAAAAUCAUGGUGAAUAAGCUGGGUAGUAUAAACAGUUGUGCUGGUGGCUGGUGUGAGUUUGUUUGACAAGUACCCCCUCCGUUCCUAAAUAUAAGUCUUUGUAGAGAUUUCACUAUGAACCACAUACAGAUGUAUAUAGAUUCAUUCAUUUUGCUCCGUUUAUAGUCCAUAGUGAAAUCUCUACAAAGACUUAUAUUUAGGAACGGAGUGAGUAGAUAGCUUCUUUGCCCCUUGUUGGUUGUAAUGGGUAGUGGUUAGCUGAAAAAUCAAAUAUACAAAUUUGCUACUUCCAAAUUGAAACGUUCAAUAUGCUGGAAGCUGAGAUAGUAUUGAAGGAUCUGUUUUCUUCAUUACUUCCUUUCUUCUGAAAUACUACCUCUGUUUACAAAUGCUGCAAAAAUGUUUUACAUUUACGAACAGAGGAUGUAGUUGACAACUAUUCCUGCUAUUGUUGUCUUGGUCACAUUGAAGAUCAUGACAUAAAUAUGUCAACCACCAAUAUAAAAUGACAAAUUAAGUAAACAUUCAUACAAAAACCAAAGUCUUCUUUCACUAAAUUCUACUCCCUCUGUAGUGUCAAAAACUCUAUUAUAUUAUGGGAUUCAGGGAGUAUCUAACAAGAAGUUGCUUAUACAUGGAAAUACAUUUCGCUGAAAGGUAAUAAAAACGUACUUCAGCAAAAUUAGUCCAUACAUCUUAUGAUCCAAAAUAACCAUCUAAGCAAGCAAUGGGACCUUGCACAUUACACGGCAUAAGAAAUCCAAGUAGUUCUGAAUACUAUUGCACCAUUAAUGUGUAUGUCAUAGCAGGAUACAUAUAUUUUAUGAGACAACCGUGUGGCAUGCACAACUUCCACCGGCGGUACAAAGAUACAAUACGAUACAUCAGUAAGUUAUAAAUGGUAAAGUGUUUGACAAUACAAUAUAGCAAUAAGUUUUCCAGGCCCCUUAAUCUUGUAGCGGUAUCUUUGGUAGUUCUUGCUUAAUUCACACCCGUGGUCCGAACCAUUUUUGCCAAGUAACAACAGAAAUGACAUACAACCUGUCAUAUAGGUUGUCGAGUAGCCCAAAGUAAGCAUACCUCCAUUUCUUGAUGAAGAGAAGUCCGAAGAACACCAUCCAAGCGCCCACCACAAAACCAAUAAUUGAUCCAAGAAGACAAUCUAUUUGAGACAAGCCAUCUUCCGGCAACCUUGUUGGAUCUCCGUUGGUGGGCGGAUCCCUAGGUGGACCAGGACAUUGCAUUGGAACUGGAUGUCCACAAAGACCAGGAUUUCCAAUGUACAUAGAGGCCGGAUUAUCCGUAUUGAGGGUGUCGAGUUGAUGCCCUGUGGGUAUUCUUCCAGAUAGAUUAUUAUAUGACAAGUUUAAAUUGCUCAGGUAUGUCAAAUUUGAUAAGCUCCGAGGGAUUUCACCACCUAGUUUGUUCCUCGAGAAGUCAAGAGACUCCACUGAUUGAAGUUUGCCAAUAUUAUAUGGGAUAUUUCCACUCAACAAGUUUGAUGAUAAAUUCAAACUUAUGAGACCAACAAGGGAGCUUAGUUUCUCUGGGAUUUCUCCGGUCAAAUUGUUGCAAGACAAAUCAAUGCUCAUCAAAUAUACAAUAUUGCCCCCAUACUCAAGCUCUUGCCCUUUCAUCACCACCGUGAUGCUAACAUUAACCAUUCCUAUAUGAGCGGAACGAUACUCACCUUCGUAUGCUUCUUCGAAAGGAUUAUCAAUAGUUGUCUCAGUGCUACUCAAAGCUUUCAAGUUUUCUAUAUAUUGCGGUAUGGCCCCAGAAAAGUUAUUAUUGGACAAAUCGAGAAUCCGAACAUUGUGAAGUCCCAUGAUUUCAACUGGAAUGUGACCAUAAAAGUUGUUCGAUCUUAACCGUAGCAUAACCAAACCUGGCAUGGCUUCACUGAUCCACCCAGGCAACUCUCCGGUGAAUCUAUUUUGAGUUAGAUCGAGGAAACUAAGACUCGGACAUUGUCGUAGGAGCAAAGGAAAUCCACUUGAAAAACUGUUGUUGCUUAGAAGAAGAACCGUGAUAUUCAAACUGAAAGAACUCAGUGAAAUGAAUUUUGAAGAGUUAUUGCCAGAAGGGUUCUGAUGUUUCAACUCUUCUUGGCCACAAUCAGGAAGUCCCUUUGAAAGCAGAUUGUUUGAAAGAUCUAAGAUCCGCAACUUCCGCAAUCGACAAAUUGACGUUGGAAUAGUCCCGGAUAUAGCAUUGGAAAACAGAGCUGCAACUUGCAAAUUCUGAGCUCCUAAAUCUGCUACAAACCCAUUUAAGUAGUUCCUUGAUAUGUCCAAUACCUUAAUUGUGCUUGGUAACUUGGGUAUCAAACCUGUGAGUAGAUUUGACUGCAUUAAAAGUGUAGUCAUUGACAUGAACUCCAGAUUGAAUGAUAAGUCGCCGCUAAGUUGGUUCAAGGAGAUAUCCAACCAUGUAGCUUCAGAAAAGGUAGUCCAAAACCAAUCUGGGACCCUAUCAACUAGACCUGUGUUUGGAAUAAUAAGUUCACGGAUGCUCUUCUGCCAUUGAAGCCAUUUAGGAAACUUGGGACCCAAAUUACAAUAUGAUAACCAUGCUGAUUCCAAGUUGAACGGAGGUACCCAAUGCGAGUCAACAAUAACUUCCAAAUAAUUCUCAGAUAAGUCAAUGUACUUCAAAUUCAUCAAACCAACAAAAUGAUCUUCUGUCAUCACACCACUCAAGUUGUUGAACGAAAGGUCUAAGUAAGUCAAUUUUGUAAGCUUGCCAAUCUCCACGGGCACCGAACCGCUCAAGUUGUUUUGCUGAAGGUCUAAGUAAGUUAAAUUUGCAAGCGCACCAAUCUCCACGGGCAUUGAACCGCUCAAUUGGUUGUGACUGACUUCAAGCAUGUUUAAGCUGGUUAGGUUUGACACAAAUUGUAAUGUUGUGCCAAUGAUGUUGGCACUCUCUAGAAUCAACUGUUGCAAAUUCUUCCAAGAGCAGUUGGGUAUCGAGUGUAUCACCUCUUUCAUGUCCGUGCUGAUGUUGUUCAUGCUGAGAUCUAGAGACCUUAGAUUACACAUUUUUUUCAGUGCUCCUGGUAUCAUCCCAUCAACAUUGUUGAGUCCAAAGGCAAAGUUCUCUAACAAGGUCAAGUUUCCUAGAUUGUUAGCAAACGUGCCUGAUAAUCCACAUUCCACCAACCUUAGGCUCCUGAGGCUAGUUACAUUCCAUAACCAGUUGGGUGUAUCUGGACUGCUGAAUUGGUUACCAGUGAGGUCAACCACUUCAAGAACUGUAAGGUUGUGGUGUACAAACGAUGAUGGAACAUUACUAUUAGUAAGGCCACAUUGAAACAGAAUCAGUACAGCCAAAUUAGGAAGUGUCCCGACCGUAUGGACCCAGUCAACGACUUCAGGGAGGCCGACCGAGCCCAUGUUAAGAUGCUCUAAUGAUCGGAGACGGGCUAACCAAGAUAUAUCCUUUGAGUAUUGAUAAUCACCAAAAAUACUGCCUUGUAUGUCAAGCUGUAUUAGGUUGGAGAGGUUGCCUAGCUGAGGAGGCACUGGACCAUGAAAAUCCAUGUUGGAGAGGUUGAGAUAAGUCAAACUCUGGAGAGAGCCCAAGAACCCCGGCAUAGCCUUUGCAUCUCCAAGGAGAUAGUUCUGGCUAAGGUCAAGAUACUUGAGGCGUCGGAGAGCAAGCAAAGAAGGAGAUAACUGACCACGCAGUGAGUGGUUCUCAGGGUCAUCAUCAGAUAAAUAAUACACUUCUGGAAUAUCUUGAUGGAGGUCGAGCUUGAUGACGUGGCCUGUCCGGCGGCUGCAGGUGACGCCGCUCCACCGGCAACAGUCAUGUGCACCUUGCUGCCAUGAGAUGAGGCGAUUGUCCGGAUCGCCUGUGAGGCCGGCCUUGAAGGAGAGCAGCGCGACCCUCUCGGCCGGGAUGCAGCCUCCGUUUGAUGUUCCGCUCGCGUUGAUAGCGACGGAGGAGGAGGAGGUGGUGGUGCUGGCUGUAGCUAGGACGAUGGUUAGCAAGAGGAAGCUUGUUGCAGCCAUUUCUUUGCUCCGGGCUCGGCUGGAAGGGACGCCGAACGGAAACAUGGUGGUCAUGGGCAUGGCAAGUGUGUGUCCAAGAAGAAAACUGCAGUGCCGUGUCUUGAAGGGGAUACGGGCUACCACAACUUUGGGUUGGGUGAUACCCCUUUUGGGCCAAUCAGUUAGAGCAUGGUGGACUCAUGGUAGGGUUUCCACCGGAUGAAGAGUCAAAUCAAAGUAGAAAAGAUUGGCCGGGUGCCGUGUCUUGUAGGGGAUACGGGCUACCACAACUUUGGAUGAGUGACUGACACACACACACACGCACACUAUGCUGGGCCAAUCAGCUGCAGCUGUGGCUGUCACUCCAUCACCCUCCUAUUGACCGGGAAGGCCUAAGCGUUCAUGUUUCAAACCAAUCAAAUACUACUAAGUUAGUGGAUGACUUCAUCGAAGACCUAUAUGUUGCAAUCAAAUCGAACUAAUUCUCAACCUAUUUGAACCAACACGUCAGAUUGUUAGAAGUAGGACAUGAUAGAUAGAUGGUUUGGAAGACAAUUCAGAUGCCAUUCUGACUCCUCAAAAAUAAUAAAAAGGGCAGGGGUGCCCCGAAAGAAUGAACGUAACAUGUGAGGUGGAGUCAUUGGGCCAGCGGAAGGGGGAGGAGGAGCGGCUGGCGCCGGAACACUGCCAUGUCAGCAAGGACCCAGCCUGCCUGUCUCUCAAUAUUUUGACACCUGAGCUCUAAUUCAGUUAAGUUUGAAUCAUUUGGCCGGCGGAGGCACUCUAGCCGCGCGUCCCAACCCUAGCUUGGGAAAUCCCGGCGUAGCCAACACAGGAACCCUAGUGCAGCGCUGUACGUGACCCAACUCCGCUCGCGAGCCAAAGUCUCGUAACGCAAGCGUCGAUCGGUUCGCCUCAUUGGCUUGGGUCGCUUCCUGGGCCACAUGCCCAGGUUCUGUUGCGCCCAAGUCCACACCCAUCAAGUCAGGCCCAUCUUGGCCCAACAAAGAUUUCAAACGAGCAGCCCUGGCCGCCCGGAUCUCACUGAGAUCCAACGCCGGCGCCGGCGCCGCCAUCUGCCGAUUCUUCUUCCGGCGAUCUUUAACGACCCAAAAAAUCACCAAGAGUAAGAGAUGGAAGACGUACCUUAGGUAAAGGUCCCUUCCAUGGCCUGAUCGCCGUCGCCGCCGUCCUCCGGUGAACGACUCGCCGGAUCAUCUCCUUCUUCUCCCCGGCGUGUAAACCUAUCCUUGCCGGAUCAUCAAGAGGCAGCACCUUGUCUAUAGUCGAUGCCACCUCCUCCUCAUCGUAGCCUGAAUGAAAAAAUUCGCAAAUUAGAUCAGAAGGCGUCGGCGAUGGAGGAGACUCCGGCGAGUCCGCGUCCCUCUCCCCAUCCGAAUCGUCUGCGUCGUCAUCAGCGAGCGCCGAGAAACGGCCCCCGAUUUUGUUUUAGAACGAAGGCUCAAGAAGAGCCCGGCUUUGAAUUAACAAAGCCAUCAACCGACCAGGAUUACAAGAUCACCAACUAGCAAGAAAAGCAAGAAAAGAAACAAGCGGCUGAUACAAGGAGCAGAGCGAAACAGACUAAAAGGCAGCAGCGAUAGCAAGCAUGCCAUGCUGCCGCCAUCACCCUACAGGACGACCUACACCAACCGGACAAGCUACGGACUUGAGAGGAUGCACCACCGCGCAAGCUUCGUGAUCGUAGCCAAACUCGAAGGCAGCAAUGGGCAGACACUCCUCUGGAACUGCCGCUGCAAAGGGCCCCUGCCCUCUCAUCCUGGCUCGAAGGAUGCCGCACCGGCAGGCAGCAGCUCGGUUCACCCUAGAACCCAGAGGAAGACGUCCAAGAUGCGCAUGAAGAAGGAACUAGGAGCAGACCUGCUAGCUCAGAGCACACCAUCCCGAGCACCGUCGUCGUCCGCGGUUAAGCCACACCGAGGGGCUAGAGCUAUCGGCCACAGUCGCAGCAACAAGGGUAACAACGAAGAACCACCGAAGAAAAGGCAGUGAAGCGCCGAGCCAAGCUGCCACCCGCCAUCACCACACCCACAACCCGACUCUCUCGCCGCCCCUAUGAUCCCUGGACUGUGCCUCCAAGAAGGAACACGACAUGGAUGUGUCGUCGCCGCCCGAAUCAUGGGACCUAGGCUUUCACCUAGUAGGGGACGGAAGGAGGGGGAGAAGGAUCCUCACCACAACCUCGAGGGAGUGGUACGGCGCCCAGGGCGUCGCCUACGGUGUGGCUGCGCCGGCCAGGGGUUUCCCCCGGAUCCAGCCCCCCUCGACGAGAUCCGCGCUGCCGGCGCCCGGGAAGAACGGCCUAAGCCACUGGGACCCGGAUCCGGCGAUGGAAGGAGCGGAUCGGGGCGGAGAGGAUGAGAUGCAUCUGGUGGCGGCAACCGCGCGGGGGAAGCCACACACCAGCGACCGUGGACCGACGCCUCCUCGUCCCCCGCGAGACCGAGGGAGGCACCUCAUGUCUGAUCCCCCUUGUGUUUGCAUCAGUCUGUUGUCCUAGCACCAUCUACAAAGAGCGAGAAGAAAGUAAGGAACAUCUUGGAAGGGCUAUGCGGCAAUGCUAACAGGUAAAUUCCAUGCCUAGGCUGCAGUCUGUUGGCCUUGUUACUCGCAGCCUUCUCUUUGUCUUUCGCUAACCGAACCUUCAAAUUGCAGCAGCUACUGGAGAUCCGAAGACGACGUGGGCAUGGCUGCUGGCCUGGGAGGCGAGACAGAGUCCCACCCUUAUGUCUCCUUCACCAUAAACUUUGUCUGAGGGUGUUUGAUGUAUAUUAUUUUGUGACACCAAUUCUUUCAUGGUAUGUCGGUUUCGGUUUAUACUUCUAUAGUAGAUUAUUCGUGCCGACCAAUAAUGUAGUGUUUCGGAGAACCUCGAACGUAUCCUGGCACAAAGUGGGACUUCACUUUUUUUGUUCUGCUACGGUAUUGCAACUGUUUACUUCUUGUGCAGUGUUGUAUUACUGGGUACAUUAUUGUAAUUUUGAGUAACCAGAAUCUAUAAUAAUAAAAUCAAGGUGAAUAAGCUGGGUAAUAUAAACAUAUGUUGUUCACUGGUGUGAAUUUGUUUGACAAGUAGAUGACCUCUUUGCCCCCUUGUUGGUUGUUAAGUGUAUUGGUCAGCCAAAAAAUUAAAUACACAAAUUUGCAUAAUUCCAAAUUGAAACGUUCAAUAGGAGAUUGUAUUGAAGUAGUGUUCUCUUCAUUACUUCCUUGCCUGUUGCCUCUGAAAUACUAGUUGAUAACUGUUUUGCCUCUUAUCAUUGAUGAUCACCAAUACAAAAGUGACAUUUAGAAAACGUUCAUACAAGUUUUGUUUUCAUUGAAUUCUACUCCCUCCCUAAAGAAAUAUAAGAGCGUUUAGAUCACUUCUUUAGUGAUCUAAAUGCUGUUACAUUUCAGUGAUCUAAAUGCUUUUAUUCUUAGCAGAGGGAGUAUCUAACAAGUUGCUCAUGCAUGGAAAUACAUUUUUCCGAAAGGUAAUAAUAACGUACUUCAGCAAAAUCCGAAAUAACCAUCUAAGCAAGCAAUGGGACCUUGCCACAUUACGUGGCAUAAGAAAUCCAAGUAGUUCUGAAAAAUAUUACACUAUUAAUGGGUAUGGCAUAUCAGGAUACAUUUAUUUUAUGAGACAAAACCUUGUGGCAUGCACAACUACCACCGAUGGUUCAAAGAUACAAUACAAUAUAUCAAUAAGUUAUAAAUGGUAAAGUGUUUGACAAUACAAUAUAGCAACAAGUUACUCCAGGCUCCUUAAUCUUGUAGCGGUAUCUUUGGUAGUUCUUGCUUAAUUCACACCCGUGGUCCGAACCAUUUUUGCCAAGUAAUAACAGAAAUGACAUACAACCUGUCAUAUAGCUUGUCGAGUAGCCUGAAAUAAGCAUACCUCCAUCUCUUCUUGAAGAGAAGUCCACAAAACACCAUCCAAGAGCCCGCCACAAAACCAAUAAUUAAUCCAAGAAGAAAAUCCAUUUGAGACAAGCCAUCAUCCAACCAUCUUGCUGAAUCUCCGAUGGUCGAUGGAUCUUUAAGAGGACCAGGGCAUUGCAUCGGAAUUAGAUGUCCACAUAGGCCAGGGUUACCAAUGUACAUAGAAGUUGGAUCAUCUGCCUUGAGGAUGUCGAGUUGAUGCCCCGACGGUAUUUUUCCUGACAGAUCAUUAUAUGACAAGUUUAGAUAGCUGAGGUAUGUCAAAUCAGACAUUGUUUGGCGGAUCUCUAGGCGGACCAGGACAUUGCAUUGGAACUGGAUGUCCACAAAGACCAGGAUUUCUAAGGUACAUAGAGGCCGGAUCACCUGUAUUGAGGGUGUCCAGUUGAUGCCCUGAGGGUAUCCUUCCAGACAGAUUAUUGUAUGACAAGUUUAAAUAGCUCAGGUAUGUCAAAUCCGAUAAGCCCCGAGGAAUUUCACCAACAAGUUUGUUCUUUGACAGGUCAAGAGACUCCAGCGAUCGAAGCUUGCCAAUCUUAAAUGGGAUAUUACCACUCAACAAGUUUGAUGAUAAGUUCAAAUUUACGAGCCUGGCAAGCGAGCUUAGUUCCUCUGGGAUUUCUCCUGUUAAACGGUUGCAAGAUAAAUCAAUGCUCAUCAAAUAUAUAGUAUUCUCCUUGUACUCAAGUACUUGCCCUUUUAUCACCACCGAGAAGCUAUCACUAGACUGUCCCUUAUAAACCCAUGUGGCAUCAUGAUAUCCUUCGUCGAAAGGAUUAUCAAAUGAUGUAUUAUUAGCGGUAGUAGUGCCAAUCAGAGCAUUCAAGUCUUCUACAUACUGCGGUAUGGCCCCAGAAAAGUUAUUAUUGGAGAGAUCUAGAAUACGAACAUCAUGGAGUCGCAUUAUUUCGAUUGGAAUCUGACCACAAAAAUUGUUCGAUCUUAAGCGCAGCAUAACCAAACUAGGCAUGGCUUCACUAAUCCAUCCCGGUAACUCUCCUGUGAAUUUGUUGUGAGUUAGAUCCAGGAAAAUAAGACUUGGACAUUGUCGUAGGAACAAAGGAAAUCCACUUGAAAAAUUGUUGUUGCUUAGAAGAAGACUAGUGAUUUUCAAACUGAAUGAACUUGUUGAAUUGAAUCUUGAAGUGUUGUUGCCAGGUGGGCUCCACCGUUUCAGCUCUUUUCGACCACACUCAGGAAGUUCGUUUGAAAGCAGAUUGUUCGAAAGAUCUAAGGCCCGUAAAUUUUGCAAUCGACAAAUUGACGUCGGAAUAGUCCCGGAUAUAUAAUUGGAAAACAAAACUGCAACCUUCAGUUGCGGAGCUCGGAAAUUUGGUACAAACCCAUUUAAGGAGUUUCUGGAUAUGUCCAAUACCUCAAUUGUUCUUGGUAACUUGGGUAUCAAACCAGUAAGUAGAUUGGACUGCAUUGAAAGUCUAGUCACUGACAUGAACUCCAGAUUGAGUGGUAAGUCGCCGCUAAGUUGGUUCAAGGAGAUGUCCAAUGCCGCGGUAUGGGAAAAGGUAGUCCAAAACCAAUCUGGGAUCCUCCCAACUAGACCGGUGUUUGAAACAGAAAGGAGAAUGCCAUUUAGGAAAUUUGGGACCCAAAUGACAAGAUGUAAGCCAUGCCCUUUCCAAGUUGAACAGAGGCACCCAAUGUGAAUCAGUAAUGAAUUCCAAAUUAUUAUUAGAUAAGUCAAUGUACUUCAAAUUCAUUAAACCAACAAAGUGAUCUUCUGAUAUCUCGCCACUGAAAUUGUUGUCACUAAGGUCUAAGUUCGUUAAACUUGUAAGUGCGCCAACCUCCAUAGGCAACUCACCGCUCAACGUGUUGUUUGCAAGGUUUAAGUAAGUCAAAUUUGUAAGCAGACCAAUCUCCAUAGGCACUGAACCGCUCAGCAGGUUGCCACCGACAUCAAGCAUAGUUAAGCUAGUCAGUUUUGACACAAACUGUAAUGUGCUGCCAGUGAUGUUGGCAUGCCUCAAACUCAGCUCUUGCAAGUUCUCCAAAGAACAGUCCGGUAACCUGUCUAUCACCUCUGUAAUGUCUGCAUCAACAUUGUUGUUGCUGAGAUCCAGAAAUCUUAGAUUACAGACACUUCGGAGUGUUGUUGGUAUCAUGCCCUUGAUGUGGUUAUCUGAAAUGUCCAAGGUCUCUAGCAAGGUCAAGUUUCCCAACUCGCCGGGAAAAGUUCCUGAUAGUCCACAAGACCACAACUCGCUAGGCGUAGGCUCUUGAGGCUAGUUACACCCCAGAACCAAUUGGGUGCAGCAGGGCUGUUUAAAGAGUUAUAUGAGAGGUCAAGCUCUUCCAGAAGUGUAAGGUUGUGGUGUAGAAGUGAUGAAGGAGCAUUACUCUUAGUAAGGUUGCAUGACCUGAGAAUCACUACAACCAAACUAGGAAGGGUGCUGACUGUAUGGACCCAGUCAACUACUCCACUGAGGUCGAUGAAGCCCAUGUUAAGAUGCUCCAGCGAGCGAAGACGCGCUACCCAAUGUAUAUCUUGUGAAUAUAGAUUGUGUGGUAAUGAGUAAUGACCCUCUAUGUCAAGUUGUACCAGUUUGGAGAGAUUGCCUAGCUGAGGAGGCACUUUACCACGAAAGCCCAUGUUGGAGAGGUUGAGAUAAGUCAAACUCGGGAUAGCGCCUAGGAAUCUCGGCAUAGCCAUUGCAUCUCCAAGAAGAAUAUUCCAGCUUAAGUCGAGAUGCUCCAGACGUCGGAGAGCAAGAAGUGAAGAAGAUACCUGUCCUUGCAGCGAGUGGUCUUCAGGGUGAUCAGCACCAGAUACAAAAUCCAAAUAUGUAAUUUGAUCAUCAUAGUGGAGGUCGAGCUUGACGACGUGGCCUGUCUGUCGGCUGCAGGUGACGCCGCUCCAGCAGCAGCAGUCUGUUAGGCAAUAAGCCACGGCGAGGCGUCGAACGAGCCGGGCGCGGGUAUGGGCGCGCGCCGGGCGAGUUGGACGCGUCGGGACCGUGGCGAGUAGGGCGUGCGUGCGCGUAGGUCCAGCACGGGCGUGUCCGUGCGGACGGGCGCAGUGUGUGUGCGUGUGACCGCAGGCCGUUGGCGAGCUCACUACCGGAAUAAUGUUAUAUGCCUACGGCCUUAUCUAUGCCGACGGCUGCCGUAGGCAUAGAUGGAGCUAUGCCGACGGCCUGGGGAAUACCGUCGGCGCAGAAAAGCCGUCGGCAUAGCUCCAUUUAUGCCUACGGCAGCCGUAGGCAUAGUAAGGCUAUCGGCAUAUAUCGAUCUAUGUCUACGACAGCCGUAGGCAUAGUUACGCCGUGGGCAUAGAGGUGGCCCUCGUGGCCCAGGGACAGACGGCGGGCUGACACCGUCAAAUCUAUGCCGACGGCCCGGACGGCGGCCGUCGGCAUAAAUAUCAUCUGUUUUUUUUAUUAGGAGCUGCCACGUGGCAGAGCUAUGCCGACGGCAAAGCCGUAGGCAUAGUUUUCCAUCUAUGCCUAUGGCAAGGCCGUAGGCAUAGCCUCGCCACAUGGCGCCUCCUGGUAGCCCCUAGCCAAGAACUAUGCCUACGGCUAUGCCGUAGGCAUAGAUAUCAUUUGUUUUUUUAAAUUAUUUUUAUGUUUUUAAAAGUUAAAAAUUGAAUAAUUUAAAUCUAACUUAUCUAAACUUAAACAUACACAAAUUAUACAUCGACUUGGGGUAGAAUUUUCCAUAGAUUAUGAAUAUACAGUUUUUUUUGUUUUUGAGUAUGUUAGAAAUGUGACCUCAUGUACUUUUUCAUAUAGGUCCUUAUAGUUUGUUAAAAUCAUAAGUAAUUGAUACUUGGAUCGAUUUUGACAAAUUUUAUAUGGUUUUUUAUCAGAAUCUUGAAAGGAUUAUGUUGCUAUACUAUUUUUCAAAUUUGAACAAACUUAAAUCAUGUUUGCUUCAAAUUUACAGAAAACACCCUUUUGUUUUGAAUUUUUUGUAUAUUUUUCAUACCUUGGCCAAUCAAGACAAAUUUUAUAUCUACAUCCAUCUGAUUGUUUCAAGGAUUGUGGUGGCAGGCGCAAACACCCGGCAACCGGCUCCGGAGUGUGACUCCUUCAUGGAUGGCGAUGCCGUCGACACUUGGAAGGGGAAAACGGCCACGUUGGGUCGAGACGGAGGGAAUCUUAUGGUGGGUUUGGCCCAAACCUUGUUCUCAAGUGUUCCUAUGGGCUGACCUAUCAUAACCAGGUGAAAACGUCUGUUGGUCAAAUCCCGUAUGACAAAAGUCAAAGGCGUAGAUCUCCAGGUCAAUUGGUCCAGGGUUAGGCCGGUUGGGGGCCUUCGGGGGGUAGCAAUGCCACCAGAGCAUUGCGUCGGGUCCUCAUACAUGUCUUAAGGUGUGGUGGCAUGUCNNNNNNNNNNNNNNNNNNNNNNNNNNNNNNNNNNNNNNNNNNNNNNNNNNNNNNNNNNNNNNNNNNNNNNNNNNNNNNNNNNNNNNNNNNNNNNNNNNNNNNNNNNNNNNNNNNNNNNNNNNNNNNNNNNNNNNNNNNNNNNNNNNNNNNNNNNNNNNNNNNNNNNNNNNNNNNNNNNNNNNNNNNNNNNNNNNNNNNNNNNNNNNNNNNNNNNNNNNNNNNNNNNNNNNNNNNNNNNNNNNNNNNNNNNNNNNNNNNNNNNNNNNNNNNNNNNNNNNNNNNNNNNNNNNNNNNNNNNNNNNNNNNNNNNNNNNNNNNNNNNNNNNNNNNNNNNNNNNNNNCGGACGACAAUGAAAUCGAAGUAAUCCCUCGACGGUUUUGGCGUUGCAUGAAUAUUUCUGAACACUCGGAGCGUGAUAAAUUCAUGAAAUUUUUACACAGUGCAGACACAUGUGAUAUAAUAGGCAUUGCAAUUUCUUAUAUUUUUUAAAGAUGCAAGAGUAUGUGAAAAAAAACCACUACAGAUUGUUCUUCGCGUGUCUACGAGUGUGGCCAGGGGCCUUCGGGGGCUAGUUAUGCCACCAAAUCUUGCAUUGGGUCCUCUUACAUGUCUGGAAGUGUGGUGUCAGGUGCAAACACCUGUCAUGUGGCUCCGGAAAUGUGACCCCCUUCACGGAAGGCGCUGCCGCCGGCACUUGGAGGGAGGAAACGGUCGCGUCAGGUCGACACGAGGGGGAUCCGGUGGUGGGUUGGGCCCAGUCGGGGGCCUUCGGGGGUAGCAAUGCCACCAAAACUUGCAUUGUGUCUUAAUAUAUGUAUACAAGUGUGAUUAAGUGUUGAAAUAGCCAACGGAGCAACGGGCAACACACUUCCUUCACAAAACCGGACACGUUCUCUCUCGAUAAUCAGAUACUACCUUGGAGAUGGUGUAGUUUACAAGUGGCCUCCUGUGAGGCUUCUACGAAACAUGCUCAAACUUUUACCACACCCUACAAGGGCCAUAUGACUACACCAUGCCAGGUCCCGAGGAUUUUUGGCAUCGUAUGAUUUCCCAUGGAUUUUAACGGCUAGAUCUGGCAUGCCCCGAGUUACAUUCACCCUGCGGUGGUGGGGCCUCCCCCUCCUUUGGUUGCACUAGGCCUACACAUACCGCAAAGACAUCAUAUGUGAUUUAACAAACCACUUCUGGACAUCAUUUCAGGUGGUCGCCAAGCAGAUCUGCAAUUUCUCGCAUUGAAACCCUACGGAUGCAAUAAAUAUCUCAAAUAUUGCAGGUGGCCCAGAAAAAUGCCAUGUCCUGGCACGUGUCAUGCAAUGGCCCCCUUUGAGAGCACGGGAAGUUUCAAGGUCAACGAAGCAACUGGCAUCACACCUCCUUCACAAACUAAACACGUUCUCUCUCGAUAGCCAGAUACUACCUCGGAGAUGGAGCAGUUUACAAGCGACCUCCGGACAGGCUUCUGCGAAACAGGCUCAAACUUUCACCACACUCCACAAGGGCCAUAUGACGACACCGUGCCAGGUCCCGAGGAUUUUCAGCAUCGUAUGAUUUUUGUUUGAUUUUUUGGAUCCGGCACGCCGUCGAUGUACAUUUGCGUCCCGGUGGUGGGGCAUGCCCCUCCUUGGGUUGCACUAGUCCUACACAUACCGCAAAGACAUCAUAUAUGAUUUGAUGAACCACUUCUGGACAUCAUUUCAGGUGGCCGCCGUGCAGAUCGGCAAUUUCCCGCAUUGAAACCCUACAGAUGCAGUAAAUGUCUCAAAUAUUGCAAGUGGGCCCGAAAAAUGCCAUGUACUGUCACGUGUCAUGCAAUGGCCCCCUUUGAGAGCACGAGAAGUUUUGAGGUCAAUAGAGCAACGGGCUUCCAACCGGGCACGUUCUCUCUGAGAUGGUGCAGUUUACAAGCGACCUCAGGUUAGGUUUCUGCGAAAUGCGCUAAAACUUUCACCACACCCUACAAGGGCCAUAUGACGACACCGUGCCAGGUCCCAAGGAUUUCCGGCAUCGUAUGGUUUGCCGUGGAUUUUAACGGCUAGAUCCGGCAUGCCUCCGACAUACAUUCGCCCCCCCGGUGGUGGGGCCUGCUCCUCCUUUGGUUGGACGAUACCUACACAUUCUCCCCCGGUGGUGGGGCCUGUAGCUGCGCGACGCACGGGACAACGUCGGCGCAGACGGGGGCACCCCUGCCGCCCUCCGCCAAGAUCCCCUGCAGGCCAGCACCUCCGGCCCGCCCCCAUGAGCAGUGGGCAGAGCCACCAGAUCGGAACAACGGGUGCCCCAACCAGUCGAGACCCGUACCUGUAUCAGCCAUGAAGGAAGAUGCCUCACCCGAGCCUGAUGCAGACAAACCGCCGCCGGAGAGACUGUAGGCAAAAUGAGUUUAUCAAUUUUUUAAUUCUAAAAAAAUCAAUUUUUUUGGAAAAAACAUGAAAUUUGGCAGAAUAUUGGUUUGUGAUUCGUAGAGGGUGUGGAAAAAGUUUGAAAAGAUUUCAUAAAAAACUCUAAUAAAUCUAGCAAAACAAAUACGUAAAGAAGCACACAAAAAUGAAGACUUCCUAUUGGGUGACCACCCGGUCACGCGGAUCGGUGACGUGGAUGGCUGGCCCCACGCUCCUCUGCACCUCCAAAAAGAAAAGAAGAAAAAGAAAACGCACACACACACGAUACAAAAUCAAAUGAAAUUUUGGGCCUUCCCGCGCCACUCAGCCCGCUUCCCUCCCACCCACCAAAAUUUUUUAAAAAAGGAAAAGAAGCGAGAGAGAGCCCACCCAAGACCCAACAGAGCCGCACCACUCCCCACCUCGACCUCUCUCUCUCCCCGCGACCCUUCUUCGCUGCCGCCACCCACGCCGGUGAUUCCGGCAGCUUCCGGCGAUUCCGGCUGCUGCCGACGACGCCAAGCACACUCGCAUGAUCGCCUCCGUCCGCUCCGUCUUCCCUUCCGAGCAGAUUCGUCGCUCGCGUCCUCUACCGGUCACCCGCGACCGUCCCCUAAGCUAGGGUUUCGGCCACCGCAUCGCCGGCGUGGCUCCGGCGGCUCAGGUACAUCUCUCCGUCGAGAUCCCUCGCAACCCACCCUCUCUUACUCACCUGUAUCCUCUCCCUCCCAGAUCGAGCACGCCAAUGUCGCCGUCGUUUCGCUUGCGCUGGAACAGCAAAGGGAAGGCCAUGGACGACGCCGCUCCAGCCCUUCUCCGACGCCAUCAAGGUCAGCCCCUCCCUCUCCUAUUCGAUCUGUUCCCCUACCCUUCCCUGAUGUGCCUACCUUCCUCACCCACACGCAGCAGUAGCAGCAACUCGAUGCAGGGACGAGGGAGAGGAGGAGUCCUGCUUCCCCGGCGUGCAUCCUCUCUCUCGGAACGACACCCAACCUCAAGCGAGAGGUUUUCCUUCCCCUCCAUGACUCCCUUGUCCUCCUCGAUUUCCUAGGCUUGCUCUCAAUUUGCUGCUGCUCUGCUCAGCUCUGCAUUUUUUACUUAUACACAUGCUUGACUGAAUUUUGAACGGGUGCUACUGCUGUCACACUCCACUGCUGGGUCCUCCUAGGCUUGGUGCAGAUUUUAGAUGCAGAUUGCUAGGUGCAGAUUUUAGAUGUUCUUGUCACCACUGCUGCUAGUCACUGCUUGUCUGCUUGUGUUAAUUUAUAUGUCAUUGUGACGAGUUGAGAUGUUCUGGAAACUUUGAUGUCUACCUAGUCGACUUAUUAGAUAUGACGGAAGAUGCAAGUGGAGAUUUGCAUCAAAAAUUGCUUGUGAAGAUAUGAUUGCUGAUUUCAAAAGUAGGAAGAAUAGAAGAGCAUAUCUCUAGUUGGCAGUAGUGCUAGUUGGUUAUGUUUAGUUGUCUUUUGGUCAUUUGGUGUGGUCUGUUCUUUUGGAACACCAAAAUUUACCUAUCCACAAUGCUCAGGUAUGUGUGAACCUGCUGUAUUGUGUUAUUUAUGAUGAUAUGGUCGUCUAAUUGUCCUUGGCUCCUUGCAUAUGUUCUACGUACAACUUAGCGGAGUUUUUAAUGCAUAUUGUGUGUUCUUAUAUAAAGUCGGCCCCCUCUUGAGAUUUGGUCACGCUCCGCCACUGCUCCUAGCUAGCUAGCUCUCAGUUUGGAUUGCCCUUGUUGGUUGCUGCAACCAGGCUAGGCGUAUCUUGCAUAAUAUCGAUCGAUUGAAACUUGUUUGCAUAUAUUGUAAAUUUGCAUGACUAGUGAACUAGCCCUGUACGUAUUUUUUUAUAGCACUGAAGUUUGUGUUUGUGCUAAAUGGAACACCUGAUGCACUUGUCUUGGUACUGCUUUUGUUGCUGUGACGGUGUGAUGUUCAAACAGUUAAUGCCACUCAUCCAUUGAUGAACUAGAGUCCAUCUCCGGUUUGAAUUGACUCUGCUUUUAAGUAUAUUUUGCUUGCUACCCCAAAAAUGUAGUAGAAUUUAGCUUAUGAAUUGGUCUGGUUGGAUUUCUCAAGUUAUCUCAAGAUGCUACAAAAUAAAUGGUUGUUGUCUCUGCCUUUGAUGUUUGAUUUGAUUUGAUUCGGUUUCCUCACGCCUCUCUGUUUGCUCUGUUCGUGCUGCUGCCGGAUCCAGGAAGGUCUUUGAGAACCUAAACGUUCUUUUUUUUAUUGAUAGAUGCAUGUGUGGGUGGCAGCAGAUCAACCUCCUUCUCAACCCAUGUGUAAGCCCAGCCCCUGAGAUACUCACCUUCUCAAACCCAAUUUUUUUGUCUAUCUUGUUCCUUGACAAACAAAUUUUUUUAGGCCAAAACUUUUUGUUCCAUUACUACCAUCUUGCUGCUCUCGAUAUCCAUGCCCUAAUUCAUACCUGAUCCAUUCUUAGAUGGUAGUAAGUAAACAUGACAUGUGGUAGAAAACAUAUUAAGCCACCAUUACGUGUGAAUUACACCGGCUCAUGUCAGCGUAUGUAGUUUGGAUGAAUUUUUUUUAUGCAACAAAUGCAUCAACUGUGACAGAACCAUUCAUGAUUAAUUCUGUCCUGUGCAAAAUGUAGUGCUAGUUCUGUAGUUCGUCAUAUGUAUAUAUGUGCUCUACAGUUUUAGUUCUUCUUCUUGUGUUGCUGCACUUGGUCUAGAGAUACAACAACAUUAGUUAGGUCCGGAUGGAUCAACACAUACAACUAGCAGUGCUAGUAACAAAAAAAAAACA
rnacentral:lncRNA from 1 species